CCUACGGGUGGCAGCAGUGGGGAAUAUUGCACAAUGGGGGAAACCCUGAUGCAGCGACGCCGCGUGAGUGAAGAAGUAUCUCGGUACGUAAAGCUCUAUCAGCAGGGAAGAAAAUGACGGUACCUGACUAAGAAGCCCCGGCUAACUACGUGCCAGCAGCCGCGGUAACACGUAGGGGGCAAGCGUUAUCCGGAUUUACGGGGUGUUAAGGGAGCGUAGACGGCAGCACAAGUCUGGAGUGAAAUCCCGGGGCUUAACCCCGGAACUGCUUUGGAAACUGUGCGGCUGGAGUGCAGGAGGGGUAGGCGGAAUGCGUGGUGUAGCGGUGAAAUGCAUAGAUAUUAGGCAGAACGCCGAUGGCGAAGGCAGCUUACUGGACUGUAACUGACGUUGAGGCACGAAAGCGUGGGGAGCGAACAGGAUUAGAUACCCGGGUAGUC
rnacentral:rRNA from 1 species